UUUUAUCCAACCGUUUUAAUUAUUAAUUUCUGAGGUUUUUUUAUUUUUAAACAGAAUUUAUGGAAUAAGUGAUGCUUGCUCCAAGCUUGCUUCGAACUUCAAACCAGCCCCAAGUGUUCCAUGUUCCAUGUUCGAUGUUCGAUGUUUGAUGUUCGAGAGGGGACUGUGUUUGUGGAUUCCAUUUGACUCAAGAGUGGAAAUGAUAUUAUUUUAAUACAAAAAAAUAACAAAAAAAUAUGUAAAAAAAAUCGUAUAACAAAUAACAAUGGUUUGAAAUAUUUAGCAAAGUUUAGACUAUAGUUUCUGUAUUUUUAAUCGAACUAAAGGGUAAGACUCGCGUCCGCAAGUCCCCCAAAAACUGGAAGAUACUUUAGUGCUUUUAUUUUUUUAGCUCCAGUAUGGGUGAACCGGUUGGACAGGAUGCAGGAGCUGGAGGAGAGCCAGCCAAAAUGCUACCAAAACAAAGCAAAACAACAACAACAACAACAACAACAAC